GAACAUCCCUUUCUCGCAAGAGACUGCUGCGGAGGUGCUGCAUGGCUGUCGUCAGCUCGUGUCGUGAGAUGUUGGGUUAAGUCCCGCAACGAGCGCAACCCUUAUCCCUAGUUGCCAUCGGGUCAAGCCGGGCACUCUAGUGAAACUGCCUCGGAUAACGAGGAGGAAGGUGGGGAUGACGUCAAGUCCUCAUGGCCUUUAUGUCCAGGGCUACACACGUGCUACAAUGGUCGGUACAAACCGUCGCAAACCCGUGAGGGGGAGCUAAUCGGAAAAAGCCGGCCUCAGUUCGGAUUGGAGUCUGCAACUCGACUCCAUGAAGCUGGAAUCGCUAGUAAUCGCGGAUCAGAACGCCGCGGUGAAUACGUUCCCGGGCCUUGUACACACCGCCCGGCACAUCACGAAAGUGGGCCGUACUAGAAGCUGGUGUGCUAACCGCAAGGGGGCAGCCAUCCAAGGUACAGCUCAUGAUUGGGGUGAAGUCGUAACAAGGUAGCCGU
rnacentral:rRNA from 1 species